AGAAAUCAAAGUUUUUGGGUUCCGGGGGGAGUAUGGUCGCAAGGCUGAAACAUAAAGGAAUUGACGGAAGGGCACCUCCAGGCGUGGAGCCUGCGGCUUAAUUUGAAUCAACACGGGAAAAAUUACCAGGUCCAGACAUAGUGAGGAUUGACAGAUUGAGAGCUCUUUUUUGAUUUUAUGGGUGGUGGUGCAUGGCCGUUUUUAGUUGGUGGGUUGCCUUGUCAGGUUGAUUCCGGUAACGAACGAGACCUCAGCCUGCUAAAUAGUCACGGUUGGCUCGCCAGCCGGCGGACUUUUUAGAGGGACUAUUGGCGACUAGCCAAUGGAAGCAUGAGGCAAUAACAGGUUUGUGAUGCCCUUAGAUGUUUUGGGCCGCACGCGCGCUACACUGAUGCAUUCAACGAGCCUAUCCUUGGCCGAGAGGCCCGGGUAAUCUUUGAAUUUGCAUCGUGAUGGGGAUAGAUUAUUGCAAUUAUUAAUUUUCAACGAGGAAUGCCUAGUAAGCGCAAGUCAUCAGCUUGCGUUGAUUACGUCCCUGCCCUUUGUACACACCGCCCGUCGCUCCUACCGAUUGGGUGUGCUGGUGAAGUGUUUGGAUUGGCGACCGGGGGGGGUCUCCGCUGUCGGCCGCCGAGAAGUUCAUUAAACCCU
rnacentral:rRNA from 1 species